AUUGAACGCUGGCGGCAGGCCUAACACAUGCAAGUCGAGCGAGCGGCGGACGGGUGAGUAAUGUAUGGGGACUGCCCGAUCGAGGGGGCUAACUUCUGGAAACGGUUGCUAAUACCGCCUACUAUCGGUUCACCCCUAUGGGAUUAUCUAGUAGGUGGGGUAAAGGCUCACCUAGGCGACGAUCUGUCGCUGGUCUGAGAGGAUGAUUAGCGACACGGGGAGUGAGAAAGGGCCCAGACUCCAACGGAGGCAGCAGUGGGGAAUAGUGCACAAUGGGUGAAAGCCUGAUGCAGGCAUGCCGCGGGUAUGAAGAAGGCCUUAGGGUUGUAAAGUACUUUCAGCGGGGAGGCGUUACCAGGAGAAGAAGCACCGGCUAACUCCGAGCCAGCAGCCGCGGUAAUAC
rnacentral:rRNA from 1 species